rnacentral:rRNA from 1 species
AGUGAACGCUGGCGGUAGGCCUAACACAUGCAAGUCGAACGGCAGCACAGUAAGAGCUUGCUCUUACGGGUGGCGAGUGGCGGACGGGUGAGGAAUACAUCGGAAUCUACUUUUUCGUGGGGGCUAACGUAGGGAAACUUACGCUAAUACCGCAUACGACCUACGGGUGAAAGCAGGGGAUCUUCGGACCUUGCGCGAUUGAAUGAGCCGAUGUCGGAUUAGCUAGUUGGUGGGGUAAUGGCCCACUAAGGCGACGAUCCGUAGCUGGUCUGAGAGGAUGAUCAGCCACACUGGAACUGAGGCACGGUCCAGACUCCUACGGGAGGCAGCAGUGGGGAAUAUUGGACAAUGGGCGCAAGCCUGAUCCAGCCAUACCGCGUGGGUGAAGAAGGCCUUCGGGUUGUAAAGCCCUUUUGUUGGGAAAGAAAAGCAGCAGGUUAAUACCCCGCUGUUCUGACGGUACCCAAAGAAUAAGCACCGGCUAACUUCGUG